CCUACGGGAGGCAGCAGUGAGGAAUAUUGGUCAAUGGACGAGAGUCUGAACCAGCCAAGUAGCGUGAAGGAUGACUGCCCUAUGGGUUGUAAACUUCUUUUAUAUGGGAAUAAAAUGUUCCACGUGUGGGAUUUUGUAUGUACCCUAUGAAUAAGGAUCGGCUAACUCCGUGCCAGCAGCCGCGGUAAUACGGAGGAUCCGAGCGUUAUCCGGAUGUAUUGGGUUGAAGGGGAGCGUCGGUGGAUGGUUAAGUAAGGUGUGAAAGUUUGCGGCUAAACGGUAAAAGUGCGGUUGAAACUGGCAGUCUGGAGGACAGUAGGGGUGGGCGGAAUUCGUGGUGUAGCGGUGAAAUGCUUAGAUAUCACGAAGAACUCCGAUUGCGAAGGCAGCUCACUGGACUGCAACUGACACUGAGGCUCGAAAGUGUGUGUAUCAAACAGGAUUAGAUACCCUUGUAGUC
rnacentral:rRNA from 1 species